rnacentral:lncRNA from 1 species
GGAAAUUUUUCAUUUUGAGUCUGACGAUGGUCUGGCUCAAGGAUAUCUUUUUAUCUUUUGAGUGGUCUGAGUAUUUCUGCACUGUCCUUUCCCCGAUCUUUUUCCCGUCCUUCAUGCGAAGGAAAAGGCUUCAAUCUCACAUUUCGAUGUCACUGCUGAAUGAAUGUGGUUGCUUGAAAGGAAAAUUUCACAUAUGGAAG